rnacentral:rRNA from 1 species
AUUGAACGCUGGCGGCAGGCCUAACACAUGCAAGUCGAGCGCUUCUAGCUUGCUAGAGGAGCGGCGAACGGGUGAGUAACGCGUAGGAAUCUGCCUGGUAGUGGGGGACAACGUCUCGAAAGGGACGCUAAUACCGCAUACGCCCUGCGGGGAAAGGGGGGAUCUUCGGACCUCUCGCUAUCAGAUGAGCCUGCGUCGGA